GACGAACGCUGGCGGCGUGCUUAACACAUGCAAGUCGAACGGAAAGGCCCUGCUUUUGUGGGGUGCUCGAGUGGCGAACGGGUGAGUAACACGUGAGUAACCUGCCCUUGACUUUGGGAUAACUUCAGGAAACUGGGGCUAAUACCGGAUAGGAGCUCCUGCUGCAUGGUGGGGGUUGGAAAGUUUCGGCGGUUGGGGAUGGACUCGCGGCUUAUCAGCUUGUUGGUGGGGUAGUGGCUUACCAAGGCUUUGACGGGUAGCCGGCCUGAGAGGGUGACCGGCCACAUUGGGACUGAGAUAUGCCCAGACUCCUACGGGAGGCAGCAGUGGGGAAUAUUGCACAAUGGGCGGAAGCCUGAUGCAGCAACGCCGCGUGCGGGAUGACGGCCUUCGGGUUGUAAACCGCUUUCGCCUGUGACGAAGCGUGAGUGACGGUAAUGGGUAAAGAAGCACCGGCUAACUACGUG
rnacentral:rRNA from 1 species